rnacentral:siRNA from 1 species
GUAGCUCGAUAUGCAAUGUGCU